AAAGAAUUUCAAAAUUAAAUCCAUGACAAGUAUUGACAACUUCUAACUUAACUCAGCAAAGUUACAACAAAGACAGAUAACAUAUUUUUGCAUCGGUUUAUCGAGGCGAAACCACAAAUUUGUACAGCAAGUAAAGAGAGUUAUCUAGUUUUGAGAUUCUGCUUCUUCCUUCCUCUCUAUCAGUUUGAUAAAAUUGUAAACUAUUGUCUUGCCUUCACUUGUGAUGAUGCUCUCCGGAUGGAAUUGUACCCCCUGAAUGUGUCUAUAAACUUUGUGACGAGCAGCCAUUACAAGACCAUCUUCUGUCCAUGCAGUUAUCUCUAGGGCGUCUUUGGGGAAAGUGUCCUUGUCUAUUACCAGGCUGUGGUAUCUACCAGCUGUGAAUGGGUUUGAUAGCCCUGCAAAUAAACCAUCUUCCCCGCCUUCGUUAUAAUAUACAGGGGAGCUUUUCCCGUGCAUCACCCCAUAUGGAGAUCGCACAAUUUUUCCUCCAAAAGCCUCUCCCAUGCAUUGCAAACCCAUACAAACACCAAAUAACGGAAUUGUUGGUCCAAGUUCCAGUACAGUUUGCAAUGAUAUGCCUGAAUCUUGAGGUGUACCUGGUCCAGGUGAUAUUAGUAUUCCCCUUGGAUUUUUCUUCUUCAGCUCAUCCACAGUGAGCUCGUCGUUUCGAUAAACCUCAAAACUGCAUCCAAGCUCUCCCAUAUACUGACAGAGAUUAUAAGUGAAGCUAUCAUAAUUAUCAAUAACAAUAAUCGGACUCUUAUUCCGUUUAACAUCAUCCGAUAACUCAACACAAGUAGCUGAACUGUUCUGCGAUACAGCAAGCGGCUUCACCUCGAGCCGCUUUGUGCUUCUCAUUCGGAGAAACGAGCCUCCGGAGCCGGAGAGAAUUGGAAAAUCUAGGGUUUUUUGGGGCGAGAGAAAUGUGUUUUUGCCAUUGAUGUGAACGAUGGCGGAUUGUGAAGAGACAUGAGGGGUAACAAUUCCGGCCAUGAGAGAUUGUGGAGAGAAUGAAAUGUCCUCGUUCGAGGCUGUGAUUGGACGCCGUCGAUCUACAACAG
rnacentral:misc_RNA from 1 species